UCAACUUUCGAUGGUAGGAUAGAGGCCUACCAUGGUGGUAACGGGUAACGGGGUGUUAGGGCACGACACCGGAGAGGGAGCCUGAGAAACGGCUACCACAUCCAAGGAUGGCAGCAGGCGCGCAAAUUACCCAAUCCCGACACGGGGAGGUAGUGACAAUAAAUAACAAUACGGGGUUCUUUCGGAUCUCGUAAUUGGAAUGAGUACAAUUUAAAUCUCUUAACGAGGAACAAUUGGAGGGCAAGUCUGGUGCCAGCAGCCGCGGUAAUUCCAGCUCCAAUAGCGUAUAUUAAAGUUGUUGCAGUUAAAAAGCUCGUAGUUGAAUUUCGGGAUCGAAUUGUUGGUCGUGCUUCGGUACGCACUGGCAUUAUCGGUUCCUACCUUCUGAAGAACCGCGAUGUCAUUAAUUUGGUGUCGUGGGGAAUCAGGACUGUUACUUUGAAAAAAUUAGAGUGUUUAAAGCAGGCUUACGCUUGAAUACAUUAGCAUGGAAUAAUGAAAUAGGACGUUUGAUUCUAUUUUGUUGGUUUCUAGGAUCGACGUAAUGAUUAAUAGGGAUAGUUGGGGGCAUUAGUAUUCAAUUGUCAGAGGUGAAAUUCUUGGAUUUAUUGAAGACUAACUACUGCGAAAGCAUUUGCCAAGGAUGUUUUCAUUAAUCAAGAACGAAAGUUAGGGGAUCGAAGACGAUCAGAUACCGUCGUAGUCUUAACCAUAAACUAUGCCGACUAGGGAUCGGAUGAUGUUAUUUUAUAAUGGACUCAUUCGGCGCCUUACGGGAAACCAAAGU
rnacentral:rRNA from 1 species